rnacentral:rRNA from 1 species
UAAGCGGAGGAAAAGAAACUAACAAGGAUUCCCCUAGUAACUGCGAGUGAAGCGGGAAAAGCUCAAAUUUGGAAUCUGGUGGUCUUUGGCCAUCCGAGUUGUAAUUUAGAGAAGCGUCUUCCGCGCUGGACCGUGCACAAGUCUCCUGGAAUGGAGCGUCAUAGAGGGUGAGAAUCCCGUCUUUGGCACGGAAUCCCAGGGCUUCUGUGAUGCGCUCUCGACGAGUCGAGUUGUUUGGGAAUGCAGCUCAAAAUGGGUGGUGAACUCCAUCUAAAGCUAAAUAUUGGCGAGAGACCGAUAGCGAACAAGUACCGUGAGGGAAAGAUGAAAAGCACUUUGGAAAGAGAGUGAAACAGUACGUGAAAUUGUUGAAAGGGAAACGCUUGAAGUCAGUCGCGUCGACCGAGACUCAGCCUUGCCUCGGCUUGGUGUACUUCUCGGCUUGACGGGUCAGCAUCGAUUUCGAUCCUCGGAUAAUGGCAAGGGAAAGGUAGCACCUUUUUAGGUGUGUUAUAGUCCUCUGUCGCAUGCGAGGGUCGGGAUCGAGGAACUCAGCACGCACCUCAGGGUGUCGGGGCCUUGGCCCACGUUUACGUGCUUAGGAUGCUGGCGUAAUGGCUUUAAACGACC